rnacentral:rRNA from 1 species
AAGGUACGCCGGGGAUAACAGGCUAAUCAUCCCUUAGAGACCCUAUCGACGGGAUGGCUUGGCACCUCGAUGUUGGAUUAUCGCAUCCUGGAAUUGAAAAAGAUUCCAAGGGUUUGGCUGUUCGCCAAAAAAAGCGGUACAUGAUCUGAGUUUAGAACGUCGUGAGACAGUUUGGUCCCUAUCUACCGUAGGCAAAAGAAAAUUGAAAGAAGUAGACCCUAGUACGAGAGGACCGGGAAAAGUAAAUCACUGGUGGAUCGGUUGUUAUACCAAUAGCAUAGCCGAAUAGCUACAUUUAUAAUAGAUAAUUGCUGAAAGCAUCUAAGCAAGAAACUAGUCUUGAGAUAAAUUUUCUUAAAGAUGUAAAAGAUAAUUACUUUGAUAGGCUUUAUGUGUAAGA